rnacentral:lncRNA from 1 species
CAACCUGUUAUGCAUUCCACAAGUCAUAGAAAAAGAAAGCAGAUUCACAUAAUUUCACACUGCUUUUGUAUAGAUAAAAGGAAAAGACUUCAAUCUUAACACAAGAAGCCGGCAGAGAAUCUUCUAAUUCGAAUAAGCUACAAGAGAGAACGAUAGAGAAUACUAAGCAUUCAUUCAAUUACUUUUCUCAUAAAUCAACUCGUUCAAAUCUGUAUCAAUGUUUUCAGACUCUGUUUUAUGCCUUUCAAAUCUAGAACUAAAGAUCAAGUGAAUCAUGAGGCUGAAAUUCUGAAGACCCUUAAACAAGUGAACAAAGCUGAAUCUCUGAAUCUGUUGGGGUGAGGUACACACAAGAAUGUGAGGACAAACUGCUCAAGGUUGUUCGGCAAAUGGCUGAAGGAAAACUUAACUUGCACAACUAACAGUCAAAGCUAAACAUCAUUCAGAUAUUAAACUAUGCAGCAACCAAACCUAUGAGAGCCAAGAGUGCAAAAUUUGCAUUAAAAAAAACUGUGCAAAUCUACUGCUUAAAUAGUGCUUGACAGGGCAGAUUUUCAGCAGGGAUAGCAGUCUAAACAAAUGUCCAAAGAGGCUAUAGAUGAUCUAUUGUGGAUAACAUAGUAUGAGUGAAUACAAUCUAAACCAAACGGAUGAUUCAAAUAUGAUUCACUUAUUUUAAAAUCAAAUGCAAGACUGAUAUUCAAGUGAAAGAGAAGAAACGGAUGCAGUUUUGCACAUAUAUAUUUCGCAUGACAACUUUGACACAACCUCUUGUUUUAAUCCAAAAUCUAAGGAACAGGAUUAUCAUAAUCACAGCCACCAAAAGCAAACACUCUAACGGAAACUAGCACUUCAAAUUGCUUGAUGCAGCUUACUCAUGUUUUAAAGAAGCAAAAGAAGCAAAGCAGAUGUCUGCACAUUUCUAAAUUUGGGCGGAAACAAAAAAGAGCAGGCUGACUUCAGCGCACAGCUAGACAAGCAUCUUCAAUCCUAGUUUCAGUAGAAUAACAAACGUAGUGGUGCCAAUCCGAGCCAACAGUGCAGCAUAUUGAAGGAAACAUGGGCAUACAGAUAGCUAAUUCAACUUAUUGGGAUUCAUGCGUUCAGAUAGUCAUACAUUUCUAACGUUAAAGGCAUGAAUGAAAGCAAGCAUAACUCGACUGAUUUGCGACUAAUACCCAAACCAGCAUGAAAACUUCACGAACAUAUGAGCCAUUUAAGCUCGGUUGACUAGCAAACAAACCAAUUUUGACAGCCUAUGAUAAAGAAAACAAGCAUAGUUAACCUUCAAACCAUCUGGAAACCAACCCUUAAAUGUUUAUACACAGAAAAGAAAUCGAUUAUCGCCAGGCACUGAAACAAAAGGCAGACGAACUCAUAAUUAUACGUUUUGAUGGAUUCUGGAACUAGAAGACCAUAUAAACAUUAAUAAGCACAUAUACGAAGUCAUAGAAAAAGAAAACUAAAAUCUCAGUUACUACUCCAAACUUCAGUCCUAUUUUAUAGCUCAUUCAGAGAUCAACUUAUAACAGGAACUAAAGCGAAAAAAAGAAAUGAACCUGGAAUCAAGAGAUUGAACUAACACCACACUGAAAUUGAUCAAAGAAAAGCAAACAGUAGCAGAACACAAGCUUUCGAACAACAGCAGCCUCAAAUUUCCCAAAUGACUUCCAUCUUAAAACUAAAAUCCAUAAUUGUAAUGAAGAGAUGAACUCUAGAGGUUUUAAAAAAAACUCUAAACAUUUAUCGUCAAGAAAAUGAAAGAACAACACCACCAGUGAUUUUUGUGUUGUUCCAGUAUCAUAAAUAAAAGAACAAAUAAAGUUGAAAACAAUCUCUCAAGUUCCUUUCCAAAAAAAUCUCUCAGACUCUGAAAAUUUUCUCUGAAAAAUAUCUUCAAAAAAAUCUCUAAAAAUCCGUCCAGAGCACCCCUUUUAUGCCCAAACCUAGAAGCUUCCUCAAAAAUCCGAAAAUAUUCCCCUCUAGAAUGAAUUCGGACAUAUGGAGAGAGGGGAUCGAUCCAAAAUCAAUCCACGGUCCCUAUUUAUAGGAAUUCAUUCUCAAAAAGCACAUGGGAGAAGAAAAAUAUGACAGAGGGCGUUAGAAUCUUGGUGACGAGGAGCGAAGGGGAACGCGUGAGUAAUUUUGAGCUCACUCGUUAGGGAUUUCGGUGUUUGAGAGUGAAUUUGGGUGAGGAAGUAGUGAACAUCGGCGUCUCUAAUCCUAGAAGAUUAGGGCUCUGUGAGUGAAAUUCGCAUGAGUAUAUCUGGGGGCGG